GGCACGCUGGAGCCCUGCCCAAGAUGGCGGCAAGGUGGCGGGGCGUGCUGGGAGCGACGCCGUAAUCUGAUUCAGGUGCGUGGAUCGCGCACCGGCACACAUGAUGGACUUAUCUCCUCGCAGUGUAUAAAAGGGGAGGAGGAGGAAAGAUCAGAGAAGGAGGCGGAGUGUCCGCAGCAGUGACAGGAGAGCAAAGAGGAUGCAAGACGCGAGAGACGAGGACGACGACGGCGGCUGAAUGAGCGGAGGGAGCUGAAAAGCGACACGACCACGGACAAGCUUUAUUGAAAAAUGAAGUCAAACCUGCUCAAAAGCAUGUCCUUCCUGGGUGGUCCACGGAACCCGAGCGACGACAGCAAGAGAGUGUCCCAACAAGGAACGUGCGAGGAUGAGACACAACAAUACAAUAAAACUGCACAAAAAUAUAUGUGGAGAGGCGGAGCCUGUAGUCCGACAGCGAGGCGGGACACACCGUAGCCCAGCCCAAGAUGGCGGCGAGGCGCGCCGGGAGCAACGCCGCAAUCAAGAUCAGGUGCAAGGAUCCUGCAUCAGGCGACAAUUGAUUGAUCCUCUCAAACUAUAAAAAGUCAAACAGCCGCCAACGUCUGGGGGAGAGGCGGAGAGACGAGAAGGAGGCGGAGGGAAGCUGACGCUGAGCGAGAGAAGAAGACGACGACGUGGCAAACUGGAAAGCGAGCUGAUGGGCGAGCAGAGGAGAGGAGCUGAAAAGCGACCGGCACUGAGGUUUUACUUGCAAAAAUAAACAAAGUCACAACCAA